rnacentral:rRNA from 1 species
AUGGCAGUUGGGCUCAGGGGUGGAAAAUGGGAAGUGACGGUAUUCCAAGAAGAGCAUACACACCCCUUGAUGAGUAGGGAUGAAUGGACCAUGUAUUACACAUCACACAGGAAAGUGCUGUAUGAAGACUACAUGUUUCUGAAGACACUACAUAACCGCAACAUACCCACCUCUCUGAUUAUGGCUACACUUGGAGAUUUGCAUGGUGGUCAUGGGAACCUACCAUAUACUGAUAGAGAUGUUGCGAACAUUCGAACUAAGUGGAGGAAUGAGGUGUCUCUGAAAGAUAUGGCAAAAACGUGUGAAUAUUUUGAGAAGCUUCAUGCUGAGAGUCCACGUUUCUUCUAUGCAAAGCAAACAAACAGUAAUGAAGCAAUGAGAGCACUUUUUUUGGGUUGGCGGACGGACCAGAGAGGCAUACAAGAAAUUCAACGAUUGCGUAUUUUUUCAUACAACCUUCUGUACAAACCGAUAUGA